ACUACGUCGUUCUGGUAUUCGCUAACAUUUUAAACCAUUUUUCCUUUCCUCUCUUGUUUUACCACUCCAAGCCAGCCAACUUCCAAACGCGCCUUCUUCUUCGUCUUCCUCUCCCGCUUCGACAAUUCUCUUUGCCUUCUUUGCAUUAAACUGGGAAGAAAAAAUGAAAAGAAGAGAAAAGAGACUAACUUUUUGAAGGAUUGGCUUUUUGUCUUUGAACUUUGCCAUUUCUGUUUUCAUUCCUAUGUUGUCACUCAUUGCUGCUCUGGAGAUUGAUGACAACUGUUAGUGUUACAUUUAGCCCAUCAAGAGUGGACCGAGGGUGGGGGGAUGAUAGUCCUGCUAUAAUGCAUAUUUAUGCUUCAAAAUUUGCAGCAAGUUGUGUUGCAUGAGACAAAUGGGAGUAAGGAAAUGAUAUGACUACCUCUUGACUCUCUUUUUGUCUUUUUUCUUUGUUGUGAAUACCUUAACUGCCGGUUUCUCUUCUCUUUCUCUCUCUCCUUUCUGCUAUGAUUGUUGAUCAUAAAAUCUACCCCUACCACAGUUGUUUGUCACUUGUGCCAAGCCUUAGGGAAGGGAGACUUUCUUUUAUAAGCAUAAUACAUGCUCAUGAUUUAGGGGAGCCUCUUCUGGACAGCCUGUAUUUCUUGGAACCUUUGUCAUUAAAUGUACUUAUGUUAGACAUCACAUGAGAAUUGUAUGGUUCGGCCAAGAGAGAGAGAGAGAGAGAGAGAACCAUGGGAUGUAGAAUGUUUAAGAGCAUUAACUUCACAAUGCCCAGACUGAUAAGUUGAUGUUUGAUUCAUGAAUAGAUUGACACGUUCACUUGACGUGAAGGAAACUCAUAUGAUAUGUAAAUUGACUAUACUUAGAUGCCAUGGCCUUUUUAUGAAGAUUAGUUUGCUUUAUCGUCUUUGACAUAUUCCUUUUUAUGUGGCUGGUCUAUCUACACAAUCCAUUAUGGAAUUAUCUUAAGUUAUUAAUAAACUGUUAUCUUAGUGAUUACUACUGAAGUAGGUUUCAGUUAUUAAAGAAUCUCUUUUCGUUGGUAAACUGUUAUCUUAGUGAUUACUACCAAAGCAGGUUUCAGUUAUUACCAAAUUGCUUUUCCUUUUUGUCCUCUGGGCUGGGGGAGUGUGGGAGUGAUUAUCAGCUUGGCAAGUUACGAAUAUAAAUGAGUAUUCCUGGAACAUGGUUUCGCACUUUACCUUACAUGGACCCCAUCUAUGAGUUUUACAAAUUAGCGGGUAAUAACGGCGAUGUAGCCACUCGUGUCAACUCUAGAAAA